AGUUGUUGCUGGUCCUCAAUGGGGGCAUGUGCACGCUCUGUUUAUAACAUCUCCACUCACACCUGUGCACACUCCAUAGUUCCGUGGCUUUGGGGGGGGGGGUUCUGUUCUCUUCCCUGCCUGCUGCGGUUCUAUGCAUUUACACAUAUACACGCUGUAAUAAAGUUUUAUGGAAAGGAUGUCGCGUUUAACGCAAAUAAAAUACAACUUUCAGCAACGGAUCUCUUGGCUCUCGCAUCGAUGAAGAACGCAGCGAAAUGCGAUAAGUAAUGUGAAUUGCAGAAUUCAGUGAAUCAUCGAAUCUUUGAACGCACCUUGCGCCCUUUGGCUAUUCCGAAGGGCAUGCCUGUUUGAGUAUCAUGAACAUCCUCAACUCCUCAUGGCUUGCCGUGAUGAGCUUUGGACUUUGGAGGUCUUUGCUGGCUUGUGGGUCAGCUCCUCUCAAAUGGAUCAGCUUACCAGUGUUUGGUGGCAUCACAGGUGUGAUAACUAUAUAUCUACGCUUGUGGCUUUCCGCUGGGUAACCUUCGUCACUGAAGGUUCACUGGGGCUCAUAAAUGUCUCUCCUCAGUGAAGACAGCUC
rnacentral:rRNA from 1 species